rnacentral:tRNA from 1 species
GCACCUGUAGUUCAACGGAUAGAACACUGGUUUCCGGAACCAGCAAUGUCGGUUCGAUUCCGGUCGGGUGUACCA